GUGGUUUUUCUUGGCAGCACUGAAAGUUCAUGAGCUCUCUCAGAAGGCAAAGAGAAGAGUUUUGGAUCAUUUUAUCCAUGGUGCCAAAUAUUGUGUGUAAUAAAUCAAGGAUAAAAUAAAUUCAGUACUUCACUAAGAGUAUAUUGCUUUUAUCUAUGAUUGCUGAUUAAAAAAGAAUUGAAAUUGCAAUAUUUUUGAAAAUUUAGAAAAUAUGAACUUCCGAAAUAUAAAAACUGUAAUAGCUUAAAAAUGGCUGGGUGGCAAAUUCACAACUAUGGAACGAGUGAAGAAUUACAGUAUGCGACGGGUUUAAGAAUGCCCACAAUUAAAAACUCUACUGACUGCUUAGUGCGUAUUAAUGCUACAACAGUUAACCCUAUUGAUGUAGCAAUGCUAAGAGGAUAUGGUUCAAAAACUUUAAAUCUAUUGCGAUAUCAAUAUUUAAAGGCGAUAGAGUUUCCAUUAAUUCUUGGGCGCGAAUUUUGUGGUGAAGUUGUUCAAAGUGGAAUGGGCGUCGAUAAAAUUGCUGUAGGUGAUAGAGUAUAUGGUGUUGUGCCUUUACAUGUAAAUGGAUCACAUGCUCAAUAUGUUGUAGUGCCAGAAUAUUGUUUGUCAAUAGCUCCAGUUUCUUUAUCUAAUAAGCAAGCAGCGUCAGUCCUCUAUUCUGGUCUAACUGCAUGGUCUGGGCUAUAUGUUACCGGUCGUUUAGGAAGCAUUUGUGGAGCAAUAUCCAGUACUGGUGGUGGCGAAAAUAGACGUAUAUUGGUAAUGGGCGGCUCUGGAAGUGUUGGUUCACUUGCAAUACAACUACUUAAAUCACAAAAAGCUACUGUUAUUGCUACAUGUAGUUAUAAUGCUAUUGACCUUGUAAAAAAUUUGGGAGCUGAUUAUGUGAUCGAUUAUAAAAACUCAGCUGAGUUCGAAACGUUGCGAAAUUAUGCACCUUUCGAUAUUGUGUUGGAUUGCGCAGGUCAAGGAAUAGAACUGGCAAACAAGCUUAAUUUUCAAUUUGAUCAGUAUAUAACGUUCUCUUCUCCUUUGUUGAAGAAUGUAGAUAAGUUUGGCAUAAGUUUCGGAAUGUUGAAAAAUAUAACUCACUUCAUUCAAGCUAAUGUGAAACUAUUCUCCGGAAAGAGGAUUUUAUUAAAAUAUGGUUUCUUUAUGCCAGCACCACAAGGAAUUGAACUACUGACACGUUUGGUGAAGAAAAAUCAGUUAUUGCCAAUGAUUGAUAGCUCAUUUACUUUUGCUGAGUUGCCCUGUGCUUUUGAGAAGGUGAAACGUGGUCAUUUGCGAGGGAAAGUUGUUAUAACAAUGUCUUAAUUAAGAAAUAAAAUAUUCACCUAGUUUUGCUCUUAAUUGAAUGGUGAAAAGUUUUUUACUCGCCAUGUAUGCACCUAUACUUGUUUAUACAAAUUUACGGUCUUCUAAUAAGGCCGUGUGCCAAACUCAGAACUGAACUCAUGAAUUCAAAUAUUAUUGGUUUAACAUUCGAAACAGACAUUGUAUAGGUUUUGGGUGUCACGGAAACAAAUUUUAUUUGUUUGGUUAUCAGAAGCAAAGCAACAAGAUAUUCGCGGACAGAUUUGAAAUGUUGGUGGAUAAGUUCCUGCUCUCACCAAGAAAUAGCACUACUAGCUCCAAUUUUUUCUCAAGUUGGUACGUCUAUCGUGAGAACACAUACAAAGUUACAACUCAUUCCUCCUAAUAAUUCUUUGUUUACAAGCCAUUUGAAGUUGACGUGUCAGAGUAUUUAUUAGGCCUAAAGACGAUCCACUCGGAGGACGACCAAAAACCACAUCAGAGAUCAUUUAGGAAGCUCAUAAUAUUGUUACUGAAAAUC